CCAUUCCCCUGCUCUGACACAGCAUCCAUCGCGGCCGAAGUAAUGUCCUGUUCACCGCCAACAGCAGCAUCAGCAGGCAUCAGCAUCAUCCCCGAUCGCUUAAUACGAUCACUUUGUUUGUUUUGUCCAAAAAAUCAAUAUUUCGCUUUCGGGGGCCGUGUUUUUGGUGGUACUUUGCUCUUCAUCCUACCGUUGAUCAUGUCUGGUUUUAUGUCACCAAAAAACUUUGUUCGGAUGCCUUCGGAGCGAACACGCAAACAUAAUACAUAAGCGAAGAACAAAAGACGGUCGGCCAAAAGGUGUGAAGAUGAGUGAAGACUGAGGAGAGUCAUCGCAAGCGAGAAAUCACUAACACAUGCGGUUCUACUACUUAAGUAAUGGUAACUUAACGCACUUUAAAUAUGUUUUUGUGAAUAUUCCGUAAAAACAUGACCAUCAGCUUACAACUACAACGGUAGAAACGGAUGGGAUUUCAUCUUUGGAGGAGAUUUCAAAUAAUUGCCUUAGAGCUACUAGUCACUAACUCGAAAGGGAAGAUCACCUGGAUCACCUUUAGCAAAAAACGUCGUUCAAUCCAAAAAAUUGUACAAUUUGUUGCAACCAUGGCCCAUCUUUAUCUUCUUCUCUGAAUUUGAUCCCAUUCCACAGCUUACCCGGGGAAAGGCUCCAACACCCAAUAAAACGAUCCACUAGCUGCAUGUGUAUUUGCAUAGAUAACGCCAUUUUCUUCCCCCUAUUUCAGACCCGAGAUCUUCGAGAUCGGUUACUGCAGGGCCGUUUAGGUGUUGGUUCGCUCUUGGCGUUCCUCCACCCACUUCCACGUAGUUGUGUGCCAUACGAGCCGGCGAAACCUAUCGUCAGAUCACACAGCUUCACCUUGUUUGGGCAAACCUGGCAAGGUAGGAAGGCUAUAGCUAGGCAUCGCGCUAGAACAACAGGUGCGUCAGCAGUGCGAACGAGACACAGCGUUUAGUGAAGAAAGUGUGUACUGUGUGGCAGUAUAAGUGCCGCAUGGAACGAUAUCUUAUCAAUUAUCACAUAUUUGCUCUUACCGCGUCACCGCCGCCACAGUACGCAGGCCCCUCGUCUGUGAUACAUCCUUUCCCGUGUAGCACAUGGAAACAUAGAGCAACAACAAGGGUUUGAGGGCGGCAACAAGUGGCGAGGGCACACAGCAAGUGGUUCCACCGUACGGCUAGACGACGGAAGGCUAUAGGAAGCUAUCGCACCGGCACGUCAGCUCAUUUCGUGUCGAAACGUGGUCGCAGUCACACCGGGGCCGGAGAAUCGUUACCGUUCGUGGUGCAGGUACGGUGGCAGGAUCAGAGCGCAACUUCAACUGCUGCUGGAAGGGUCGGACCACGGCAUUGGGCGGCAUUCGUCAACAUCAUCGCUCGCUCGUGGUUGUGUACAGUUUUCGGAGACUUCAAGAUCGCUGCCCCGAAGAAGAGGCUGCCGUGUGGCAGCCUCCACCACACAGCGGUUCUGUUUUGUUUCGUUAGCUAUGGUGGCACAUACGAGAUCGGUAGGCUCGGGUUGACGCAUUGGAAUACCUGUCCGAAGGUACAACCCGAGCAGUGUGUCUACCCACCAAUCGCCGCUCCGAUGACGUAAGGAGCGAUCGCUGGAAGUUUUUCUGCGCAAUUUUAACAACCCUAGCGUUCGCUCUGUGUCAUCCCGAUGGUGGCACGGUGGUGGUGAUGCUUCCGCAGCUGCGCCGAUUAGCGACCAGCUCAUAAUCGAAUAUGAAAAUAAAGAGAGCUAUCCGUCGACAGUAGGGAUAUAAUUCACUGUCAUGGAAUUGCUCUCUUUAUGUACAAUUCGAUAUUCAACGAGUGUUGGCGUGCGGUAUUGCGUCAUGAACUAGCCCCAUGUGACACCCGAUCGAACGGAAGCAGGUCCAGCGUUCCCGAGUGCAAAUCCGGGCUGAAGCCGGGACCAGUGUAUUAAGUUGAAGUUGAGGUGUGGUAUUAGGCUAAGUACAAAACACCCGCCCCCGAAUGCUUGAUGACCUUCAUUUUAUUUCACGAACAAAACAGCCCUCGUGCACGUGUUGCAGAGUGUAACAUCCUCCAGAGCAUCAUUAACGCGACUUGAUUACCGGGGCAGCUCCGUCACAUUUUUAACCAUAUGAUACUUUUAUUCACUGUUCCCGGCUAACAAGAACUGUUUGACUGAGGCACUUAAAAGAUCGUUUCGAUUUCAACACACCACAAGCGGUAGUGCGGCUGCAUAGUUAACAGUAUUACAAUGUACGGCAUCGGUCGGACGGGGCCAUUCGGGAACAAAGAAAAAGAAGAAAAAGAGGGUUUUUCUCUCUACAAAAAAAAA